UAGGGAAUCUUCCACAAUGGACGCAAGUCUGAUGGAGCAACGCCGCGUGAGUGAAGAAGGUUUUCGGAUCGUAAAGCUCUGUUGUUGGUGAAGAAGGAUAGAGGUAGUAACUGGCCUUUAUUUGACGGUAAUCAACCAGAAAGUCACGGCUAACUACGUGCCAGCAGCCGCGGUAAUACGUAGGUGGCAAGCGUUGUCCGGAUUUAUUGGGCGUAAAGCGAGCGCAGGCGGAAGAAUAAGUCUGAUGUGAAAGCCCUCGGCUUAACCGAGGAACUGCAUCGGAAACUGUUUUUCUUGAGUGCAGAAGAGGAGAGUGGAAUUCCAUGUGUAGCGGUGGAAUGCGUAGAUAUAUGGAAGACCACCAGUGGCGAAGGCGACUCUCUGGUCUGCAACUGACGCUGAGGCUCGAAAGCAUGGGUAGCGAACAGG
rnacentral:rRNA from 1 species